AUUGAACGCUGGCGGCAUGCCUUACACAUGCAAGUCGAACGGUAACAGGUCUUCGGAUGCUGACGAGUGGCGAACGGGUGAGUAAUACAUCGGAACGUGCCCGAUCGUGGGGGAUAACGGAGCGAAAGCUUUGCUAAUACCGCAUACGAUCUACGGAUGAAAGCAGGGGACCGCAAGGCCUUGCGCGGACGGAGCGGCCGAUGGCAGAUUAGGUAGUUGGUGGGAUAAAAGCUUACCAAGCCGACGAUCUGUAGCUGGUCUGAGAGGACGACCAGCCACACUGGGACUGAGACACGGCCCAGACUCCUACGGGAGGCAGCAGUGGGGAAUUUUGGACAAUGGGCGAAAGCCUGAUCCAGCCAUGCCGCGUGCAGGAUGAAGGCCUUCGGGUUGUAAACUGCUUUUGUACGGAACGAAAAGACUCCUUCUAAUAAAGAGGGUCCAUGACGGUACCGUAAGAAUAAGCACCGGCUAACUACGUG
rnacentral:rRNA from 1 species